AACGAACGCUGGCGGCAUGCCUUACACAUGCAAGUCGAACGGCAGCACGGGUGCUUGCACCUGGUGGCGAGUGGCGAACGGGUGAGUAAUGCAUCGGAACGUACCAUUGAGUGGGGGAUAACGUAGCGAAAGUUACGCUAAUACCGCAUAUUCUCUUCGGAGGAAAGCAGGGGAUCGUAAGACCUUGCGCUCUUUGAGCGGCCGAUGUCGGAUUAGCUAGUUGGUGGGGUAAAGGCCCACCAAGGCAACGAUCCGUAGCUGGUCUGAGAGGAUGAUCAGCCACACUGGGACUGAGACACGGCCCAGACUCCUACGGGAGGCAGCAGUGGGGAAUUUUGGACAAUGGGGGCAACCCUGAUCCAGCCAUGCCGCGUGGGUGAAGAAGGCCUUCGGGUUGUAAGGCUCUUUCGCGAGGGAAGAAAACGUACAGGCUAAUACCCUGUGCGGAUGACGGUACCUUGAUAAGAAGCACCGGCUAACUACGUGCCAGCAGCCGCCGUAAAAC
rnacentral:rRNA from 1 species